GACGAACGCUGGCGGCGUGCCUAAUACAUACAAGUCGAACGCUUCUUUCCUCCCGAGUGCUUGCACUCAAUUGGAAAGAGGAGUGGCGGACGGGUGAGUAACACGUGGGUAACCUACCCAUCAGAGGGGGAUAACACUUGGAAACAGGUGCUAAUACCGCAUAACAGUUUAUGCCGCAUGGCAUAAGAGUGAAAGGCGCUUUCGGGUGUCGCUGAUGGAUGGACCCGCGGUGCAUUAGCUAGUUGGUGAGGUAACGGCUCACCAAGGCCACGAUGCAUAGCCGACCUGAGAGGGUGAUCGGCCACACUGGGACUGAGACACGGCCCAGACUCCUACGGGAGGCAGCAGUAGGGAAUCUUCGGCAAUGGACGAAAGUCUGACCGAGCAACGCCGCGUGAGUGAAGAAGGUUUUCGGAUCGUAAAACUCUGUUGUUAGAGAAGAACAAGGACGUUAGUAACUGAACGUCCCCUGACGGUAUCUAACCAGAAAGCCACGGCUAACUACGUGCCAGCAGCCGCGGUAAUACGUAGGUGGCAAGCGUUGUCCGGAUUUAUUGGGCGUAAAGCGAGCGCAGGUGGUUUCUUAAGUCUGAUGUGAAAGCCCCCGGCUCAACCGGGGAGGGUCAUUGGAAAC
rnacentral:rRNA from 1 species